GGAAGAGAGUUCAACCCUCCUGUCCAUUUACGACUUCAGAAUUAAAGCAACAGGACAAGGCAGAGAAUGUAUAGUCCCACCAUACAAAUACCUAGCUGUAAGGGGUUUUGAACCAAUCUUGGCCGACUGCAGAUCAGAGCUCAAAGAGUCAUCAGAAGAAUUGUAUCAAACAGAAAUCUAUUAAGUCUUCAGAAAUAGUAGCCUGAGGUACACAAAUACCGCUUGGAAAGAUGGAGGCAUGGCUUCAUCGUUCAGAGAAUUCAACUAAAUGUAAAAAAAGAAAAUGCUUUGAGAAGUGAGGUCAACAUGAACCACACCAUGAGAGAAUCCCUUUGGACAAUAAGGAUUGUGAGGAAAUCAGAUGAAGAGGGGGGGGGGAGAGAGUGUGUAACAUCGAGGGGGAAAACCCAUUACCACUGGCACAUAACAGGCUCUCUAUACAUCGACAGGUGGUAAGAAUGCCCUGUUGUAAAUUAUGGUACAGUCAAGGAUUUCCACAACACACCUGGGAGUCCGGGUUAUUCCAUUUAGCAGGGGAGAUUUCGUUGAUCAACUGCUGAGGGGAAAACAAUGGAAAGUAGACAGCAACUUGUGCAAGAUUGGGUUUCCAAAAGAACUGUGACCUGUGGGGUUUUGGUCAGAUGUUUUUUCACUAGUGCUGGAUUUCAGAUUAGUUUUAUGCUUCAGAUGUUCAAUAAAGUUUGCCAAACCACUUUUGUGUCACAGAUGUUUUACUUCUUUCUGUCUGUCCAGUUGUAUCUAUUACUUUGGAAGGAGCGUUUCC